GACGAACGCUGGCGGCGUGCUUAAUACAUGCAAGUCGAACGGAAAGGCCCGGCUCUUGUUGGGUGCUCGAGUGGCGAACGGGUGAGUAACACGCGAGUAACCUGCCCUUGACUUUGGGAUAACUUCAGGAAACUGGGGCUCAUAUCGGAUAUGAGCUCCUGCUGCACGGUGUGGGUUGGAAAGUUUCGGCGGUUGGGGAUGGACUCGCGGCUUAUCAGCUUGUUGGUGGGGUAGUGGCUUACCAAGGCUUUGACGGGUAGCCGGCCUGAGAGGGUGACCGGCCACAUUGGGACUGAGAUACGGCCCAGACUCCUACGGGAGGCAGCAGUGGGGAAUAUUGCACAAUGGGCGGAAGCCUGAUGCAGCGACGCCGCGUGCGGGAUGACGGCCUUCGGGUUGUAAACCGCUUUCGCCUGUGACGAAGCGUGAGUGACGGUAAUGGGUAAAGAAGCACCGGCUAACUACGUG
rnacentral:rRNA from 1 species